UACGUAGGGUGCAAGCGUUGUCCGGAAUUAUUGGGCGUAAAGAGCUCGUAGGCGGUUUGUCGCGUCUGCUGUGAAAAUCCAGGGCUUAACCCUGGACCUGCAGUGGGUACGGGCAGACUAGAGUGCGGUAGGGGAGAUCGGAAUUCCUGGUGUAGCGGUGAAAUGCGCAGAUAUCAGGAGGAACACCGGUGGCGAAGGCGGAUCUCUGGGCCGGCAUUGACGCUGAGGCGCGAAAGCCAGGGGAGCAAACGGG
rnacentral:rRNA from 1 species